rnacentral:rRNA from 1 species
UUUAUCAAAAACCUGUCUUUUAGUUAUCUUGUUAAAGUCCGGCCUGCUCGUGAUUAUUUAAAUAGCCGCGGUAUUUUAACUGUGCUAAGGUAGCAUAAUAAUUAGUCUUUUAAUUGGGGUCUAGAAUGAAUGGUUAAACGAGAAAUUUACUUUAUUAAUUUUAUUUAUUUUGAAAUUUAUAUUUUAGUUAAAAAGCUAAAAUUUAAAAGAGGGACGAUAAGACCCUAUAGAUCUUAAAAUUUAUUUUUAUUUUUUUUUUUUUGUUGUUUUUUUAAAAUUAAUUCUAUAUUUUUUAUUGGGGUGAUAAUUAAAAAUUUAAACUUUAAUUUAUUUUUACAUUUUUUUAUGGAUGUUUGAUCCUUAUUUUUUGAUUUUAAGAUAAAGAUACCUUAGGGAUAACAGCGUUAUAAAAUUGGAGAGUUCUUAUUGAUAAUUUUGUUUGCGACCUCGAUGUUGGAUUAAAAUUUUACUGGGGGGUAGUUUUUACAGUUUUAGGUCGGUUCAACCUUUAAAAUUUUACAUGAUCUGAGUUCAAACCGG